rnacentral:tRNA from 1 species
AUUAAUUAGGCAGAGGAGUGCUUUGCAUUUAGAAUGCAAGAACGUGGGUGAAAAUCCCACAGUUAAUA